rnacentral:rRNA from 1 species
GAUGAACGCUAGCGAUAGGCUUAACACAUGCAAGUCGAGGGGCAGCAUGGUCUUAGCUUGCUAAGACUGAUGGCGACCGGCGCACGGGUGCGUAACGCGUAUGCAACUUGCCUCACAGAGGGGGAUAACCCGUCGAAAGACGGACUAAUACCGCGUACACUCCAUCUUGGGCAUCCAAGGUAGAGGAAAUGAAAUUCGCUGUGAGAUAGGCAUGCGUCCCAUUAGCUAGUUGGUGAGGUAACGGCUCACCAAGGCGACGAUGGGUAGGGGAACUGAGAGGUUGAACCCCCACACUGGUACUGAGACACGGACCAGACUCCUACGGGAGGCAGCAGUGAGGAAUAUUGGUCAAUGGGCGAGAGCCUGAACCAGCCAAGUCGCGUGAAGGAUGACUGUCUUAUGGAUUGUAAACUUCUUUUAUACGGGAAUAACAAGAGUCACGUGUGACUCCCUGCAUGUACCGUAUGAAUAGGCAUCGGCUAACUCCGUG